rnacentral:misc_RNA from 1 species
UCUCCGUAGGUGAACCUGCGGAGGGAUCAUUACACAAUACAAUAUGAAGGCUGUCCGCAGCUGGAGUAUUUUAUUACCCUUGUCUUUUGCGCACUUGUUGUUUCCUGGGCGGGUUCGCUCGCCACCAGGACCACCAAAUAAACCUUUUUUAUGCAGUUGCAAUCAGCGUCAGUACAAACAAUGUAAAUCAUUUACAACUUUCAACAACGGAUCUCUUGGUUCUGGCAUCGAUGAAGAACGCAGC